GCCGGGGUGCCCUAGCCCGGUAGGGGGGUGGCCUGCUAAGUCACUGGCCGAUGAGGCCUCGCGGGUUCAAAUCCCGCCCCCGGCG
rnacentral:tRNA from 1 species